rnacentral:rRNA from 1 species
GGAGGAAAGUAGGGGAUCGCAAGCACCUUGCGCUUUUGGAGCGGCCGAUGUCUGAUUAGCUAAUUGGUAGGGUAAAGGCUUACCAAGGCUUCGAUCAGUAGCUGGUCUGAGAGGACGACCAGCCACACUGGGACUGAGACACGGCCCAGACUCCUACGAGAGGCAGCAAUAGGGAAUUUUGGACAAUGGGGGAAACCCUGAUCCAGCCAUGCCGCGUGAGUGAAGAAGGCCUUCGGAUUGUAAAGCUCUUUCAGCCGGAACGAAAAGAUUACGGCUAAUACCCGUGACAAAUGACGGUACCGGAAGAAGAAGCACCGGCUAACUACGUGCCAGCAGCCGCGGUAAUACGUAGGGUGCAAGCGUUAAUCGGAAUUACUGGGCGUAAAGCGUGCGCAAGCGGUUUUGUAAGUCAGAUGUGAAAUCCCCGGGCUUAACCUGGGAACUGCGUUUGAAACUACAAGGCUAG